UUGGUUAAGUUAGAAAGGGCGCACGGUGGAUGCCUUGGCACUAGGAGCCGAAGAAGGACGGGACUAACACCGAUAUGCUUUGGGGAGCUGUACGUAAGCGUUGAUCCAGAGAUUUCCGAAUGGGGGAACCCACUAUCUUUAGUCGGAUAGUAUCCUUACGUGAAUACAUAGCGUGAGGAAGGCAGACCCAGGGAACUGAAACAUCUAAGUACCUGGAGGAAGAGAAAGAAAAAUCGAUUUCCUGAGUAGCGGCGAGCGAAACGGAAAGAGCCCAAACCAAGAAGCUUGCUUCUUGGGGUUGUAGGACACUCUAUACGGAGUUACAAAAGAAAGUUAUAAAUGAAGCGGUCUGGAAAGGCCCGCCAAAGACGGUAACAGCCCGGUAGUUGAAAUAGCUUUCCCUCCAGAGUGGAUCCUGAGUACGGCGGAACACGUGAAAUUCCGUCGGAAUCCGGGAGGACCAUCUCCCAAGGCUAAAUACUCCCUAGUGACCGAUAGUGAACCAGUACCGUGAGGGAAAGGUGAAAAGCACCCCGGAAGGGGAGUGAAACAGUUCCUGAAACCGUGUGCCUACAAGUAGUUAGAGCCCGUUAAUGGGUGAUAGCGUGCCUUUUGUAGAAUGAACCGGCGAGUUACGAUUUGUUGCAAGGUUAAGCGGAAAAAGCGGAGCCGUAGCGAAAGCGAGUCUGAAUAGGGCGCAUAAGUAACAGGUCGUAGACCCGAAACCAGGUGAUCUACCCAUGUCCAGGAUGAAGGUAAGGUAAUACUUACUGGAGGUCCGAACCCACGCACGUUGAAAAGUGCGGGGAUGAGGUGUGGGUAGCGGAGAAAUUCCAAUCGAACUUGGAGAUAGCUGGUUCUCUCCGAAAUAGCUUUAGGGCUAGCCUCGAGGUAAAGAGUCAUGGAGGUAGAGCACUGUUUGGACUAGGGGCCCUUCUCGGGUUACCGAAUUCAGAUAAACUCCGAAUGCCAUGUACUUAUACUCGGGAGUCAGACUGCGAGUGAUAAGAUCCGUAGUCGAAAGGGAAACAGCCCAGACCACCAGUUAAGGUCCCCAAAUAUAUGUUAAGUGGAAAAGGAUGUGGGGUUGCUUAGACAACCAGGAUGUUGGCUUAGAAGCAGCCACCAUUGAAAGAGUGCGUAAUAGCUCACUGGUCGAGUGACCCCGCGCCGAAAAUGUACCGGGGCUAAACAUAUUACCGAAACUGUGGAUGAACCUCUUCGGAGGUUCGUGGUAGGAGAGCGUUCUAAGGGCGGUGAAGUCAGACCGGAAGGACUGGUGGAGCGCUUAGAAGUGAGAAUGCCGGUAUGAGUAGCGAAAGAAGGGUGAGAAUCCCUUCCACCGAAUAUCUAAGGUUUCCUGAGGAAGGCUCGUCCGCUCAGGGUUAGUCGGGACCUAAGCCGAGGCCGAUAGGCGUAGGCGAUGGACAACAGGUAGAGAUUCCUGUACCAGUGCUAAUUGUUUAACCGAUGGGGUGACACAGAAGGAUAGGGAAUCGCACGAAUGGAAAUGUGCGUC
rnacentral:rRNA from 1 species